AGCUGGAAACUGCUUUUUAGUUAUCGUUUUCCUCUAGGCUAUGUGAUCUCCAAGCGUGGGAACCAGAGGGGAGAUAAUAAUACUAGACUAGGUGGAGCUUGAGCAGAAGUGAGAAGACUAGGUGGUGGUUCUUUUUAAAAAGUGUUUGUCACUGAACCUGGCUGAUACUUUUUCUAUCCUCAAACACUGGGAGUCUAACUAUGCAGCCUACACAUGAACUUGUGAGCCUCAUUCCUCGGCACCCUGAUGGGAUUACAGGCAUGGGACCCCAUGCUUCAGCUCUCCUGACACUGUUUUGACAAAAAGAACCAAAUCUUUUUCAGAAGAUUGUACUUACCUAUAAAAAACCCACCAAAACAGAUGGCUUGCAAGGAUGAAUCAAGACUGACCUUGACAACAGAGCACUUUUUUCAUCUUUAUAUUUAAGAUCAUGAGAAGCAAUCAAUAAAUGCUAAUAAUAUCCAAGAAUGAAGAAUCUUAAGUUAUAAUUAUAACACAAUAAGACACAAAACAAAAUUACAAAAGGAAAUUUAUUUCAAAAGCAUAAGGGAACAUUUACAUUUAAACAAGGGGAUAAACAGGUGUCUUGCAGAAGAAAAAAAAUGUAUUUAUGGCAUGAAGAUUUUCUUCAAAUCUCUGAAGCAAAAAGAACUAAGUUAUGCACUAUUGCCUAGGCAAGGGAAAAGGAGCAAAGGGAGGAGGAGGAAUGCAGUGAGCUCUGCAUCAGACAUGAGGUCAAGUUAUUUCUGCUGAGUUUACAAAUACACUCAGACAAGAAAAAGGAAAAAUUAUACUAUGUUCAAAUUUAUAUUGCUGUAGUCCAAUUCAUUUUUGUACUCGAAAUGGCGUUAGACCGUGGCUGAUCUAUCUCUGAGGUCCAUACUAGAUGGUCACAGUUUUCAAUUGGCAAUCCCAUGUUCCUAUGUCUGUUCAGAUUCCAAGGAAGCCUAGGUUCAGCUCAGUCUUGUGGAAUGUUCAGAGAUUAUUGCCAGCACUCCUUAGUCAAGCUGACCAACUUCUUGUGCUCACCUGUAUUAUUCUAGACUUCUAGAAAUAUUAUCUCCAUAAAUAUGUGCAGUAAUUCUCACAAAGGGGUUUUGCUUUUUUCCCAGUGUAGAAGUAACGGCAAUGAAGACACCUGUGUAGGAAUCAAAACCUCAAAAAACAAAAAAACCCAAAAACAAAAACAAAAAAUUAAUAAACCUACUAGCAAUGACAUCUGAAUAUCUAAUUUGAAUAGCAAAC